UGUCGCAAUCGAAGAUUGCAUCCGCCAGAUUCCCUCGCGCAGACGAUUUCAAUCCAAUAGUGUCACAGUUCACAGCGGUGUGGUUUCGUCGUUCUAAAUUGGCAGACCCGCUUCCUCGUUGCCUAACUGCACUUCUCAUAGACUCUCUACCACUCUACCGGCACCGGCGCAGCUGCGGCAGUGGAGAACGACUGCCUUGCAAAAGAUAUGGAGGUUGAACUCGAUCAUUAUGAGAUUCUAGGGUUACCAUCAGGGGGAGAGGGUGCAAAACUCACUGAAAAAGAAAUCUCAAAAGCUUACAAAAUUAAAGCCCUUGAACUUCAUCCAGACAAACGUCCAAAUGAUCCUAAUGCUCACUCCGAAUUUCAAAAGCUCAAGACUUCCUAUGAGAUCCUUAAAGAUGAAAAAGCUCGGAAGUUGUUCGAUGAACUUCUGCAGAUAAAACGUGACCAACGUCUCCGCCAGUCACAAUAUGAUGCGAAACGUCGCAAGCUUAUGUCUGAUCUUGAGGAGCGAGAACGAGCUGCUUUUGCUCCAGACCCUGCUGCCAAAGCCCGGGAAGAAGAAGAGAGAAUAGCGAAGAAACUUAAAGAAGAAAUUGCUCGAGUUCGUGCUAUGCAUGCUAAGAACACAGCUCCAGCAACAACAUCUAAGGUUGGAACAGCUGGAAUGGGUGGGGAGAAUAUUGGGGGCACAGGAAGUUUGAACAAAGAGAAGGUCUUGAAGGUUUCCUGGGAGAGUGGAAGUGAUGGUUAUAGUGCUCAAAGGUUGAAGGAAUUGUUUGGAAAAUUUGGAGACGUUGAAGAUGUUGUAAUUCGAUUAAAGGGAACAAAGAAAAGAGGGUCUGCACUGGUUGUUAUGGCUUCUAAAGAUGCUGCACUUGCUGCUCUGGGAACUGUUUGUGGAGAUCUUUCAAAUCCUCUUUUGGUUCUUCCUCUUCAUCCAGUUGAGACUACUGAAUUUUCCACUGCCUCUCCUGCUAAGACUCAUAUGGAGCCAGAUGGUCCAAAGUUGAACAAUCUUGUUGGUGCUGGUUAUCAGGCAUAUGAGAAUUCCAUAUUAGAGAAGCUUCAAAAGAAGGCUGCAGAAAAGCGAAAGUGAUCUGCAAAAGCUUAAAAUGAGGAUUCUGAAUGGUGGUCAUGGUUGCUUAUCUCUGCCUUGUUCAAAUUUGAAAGAAGGGUGUGCUUUUGUUGUCUUGCUGAAUUGUAUUUAUUUACAAGCCUUUUGUUGAAGAUAAGCCAAUUGAUUCAGGGCCCUGGCUUGGAGAUGUAUCAAGGCAUAGCUGGGGAGCUUCUGGAUGAAAGUUAAAGCUUGAUCUGUAACUUCCUCCGGGUCAGAGUAUCAAGCAUUGUUGGAUAUUUGUCUCAAAUAUUUUUUUGCCGGGCUGAUCUCAUCCCCAUACAUACGGGCCAUGGAAGAGCUAUGGAUGGUGUGCUCAUCUCUUCUGGAUAGUGGCCAUAUUAGCCAGUCUGUGAGUUACCGAGAGUAGCCAUCAUUAUAUUAACUGAGUUAAAGCACUUAUAGAAGUGUGUGUGUGUGUGUAUAUAUAUAUAUAUAUAUAUAUAUUUAUAUAUCCAGCAACGAAGAAAAAUUAAUCUACCAAUUCUUGACAAUCA